GGAGGGAGUCCCUAGCCUGUGGAAACAAAGGCUCAGUAUUGUUGUGGGGGGAUUCCUCCUGCAGGUGCUGCCUGGCCGCCUGGUCCCUCUAGGUGGAGAGGGGAAUCUUAGGCCGUGUGGGGGGCGGGGGCAGGAAUAUUCCAAGAAUCUCUUUGUGGUGGAAUUCUCCUUAUUGGAGUCACCUCCUUCCCUCCCCCACCACGUUUCUCUGUGCAGGUUAGAAUUCUUACCUGACUGGGAGGCGAAUGCUUCUCCUGGCCACUUACCAUCAGCAGUGGUCCCCAUCAGUCCCCAUUGCUUAGCUCACAUGGUGUUGCCAACAGGACUCCCUUUUGAUUCAGGGGAGGAACAAGCCUACCUGGGCCUCCUUCUGUUGCUAGGUUGAGAAUCAGGAAACGCCGGGCCUGGGCCGCCUUUUGCUCUUGAGCAGGAGACCCUAAGGCACCCUGCUGCUCUGCUGUCCCUUGAGUCUCAGGGUCCCUAGCCAUCUACCUUCCUCUGCGCAGCUUUCACAAUUCUUUGCUUGACUCUUGCCUUGUUUCUAGGGUUGGUAGUUGCACUUAGUGGGGAGGAGCUGAGGGAAAAAGCAUCCAUGCCGUCUUGUUCGGACUCAUAUACUUUUUGUUUAGCUUUCAUUCUCCUUUGUUUUUCCUCCUGUAUUUGAAAAGCUUUGUGAAUGCUCCUGCGAGAAAGCAGUAUCCUCUUGCUCUUGGGUACAGAUGUAUCUGACCAAGGUGAAAACUCCAGUAGCAUUUAUUUUGCUAGUGUGGAGUAAUUUCAUUGUAAAAAUACAAAAACAAAAGUCUAAGCGCCCAUGCAUGAGAGAAUAAAGGGGAGGGGGUGCCGCAGCCCCUCUGUGGGGAUGUUGGGCUAAGCUGGCAUGCCCACUCCUCUCUGGCACUGCGCCUGUGGUCAGUGCUUGUCCUGACCGAAGGGGAGGGUUAUGGCCAUCUGGCCUUCCAGUUUCAGUGGCUUGAAGCAGAGCCCAGGAGCCCUCAGUCAGGGGACUAUCUUUGGAUUAUCUCAAGGUAAUUCUUAUAUUUUGGGUGCUGAAAAGGAAUGGAAAAAUGUGUGGAAAUCACUUCAAGAUUAGCGGGAGUUAAUAGAGAAGCAGAUGAGAUCUCUACCUGAUGGCCUUUUUUGCUUGUUUUCCCUAUAAAAAUGGACACUUACAUUGCUUUCUGCUUGGAAAGAUAACCCAGCACCAAAUUUGUCCUGUCAGGCAGGAUGCGGCCCAUUAGUCAGACCGGUUCCAUUAUACACUGUGUUGUAAAGGAAACAGUUUUGUUUCUCCUCCUUCUCUCAGAUCCUUUCUCUAAUGUUGAGCAGGUGGGAAGAUGUGAGAUGCCUGGAUUGCCUCUGGGUUCUGAAUGGUUUGGGUCAAGCAAAGCAACUUUGGAUCCGUUUUUUAUUUUACCCAGAAUUGCGCUUAAUUCUUCUGAUAGAAGAAUCUGUUGACCAUUCCUCGCUUUGCAGAAGUCCGUGGAGUUGAAGGUGCCUUAAGGAAAGAAUCUGAAAUACAUUGAUUCUGGCUCUACUCAUUUAAUGGCUAAACAAUGGCUAAACAAUUGAUUAAGUUUCUGUAUUUUCUGUUUUGUGUAAGACUUAUUUUCAUUUUAAAUGAAAAUGAGUUUGAUACUAAUACAGGUGGCUGGACAUAUUGUCAAUUUAAGUAUCUAAAAAAACUAACCUUUGAUUGUCCUUCAUGUCCUCAUGCUAAGCAGUCACUACUUUUGAGCUAUUUAAAUACGUUCUCAAUAUCUACCACCAUGUUUUCAAAAUCCUAACUGCCAUUGGCGUGACCCCCUGGGACUCAGAUUUCUCUGUGGGGUGGGUCUUGUGUGCCCUGCGCUGAGGGGCUCUCACGCUGCAGACGAGGCUUUCUCGUGGUUAGGACUUGGGUCUGAGUCCAUGGGAUGGUUUUGAAUCUGCUUCCACUGUUGACUUUGGGCCUGGGUGAGUGUGACCUCCCCGGCCUCCGUUUCCUCAUCCAUAGGCAAGGGGAGUACAGCACUUGUGUGUCAAGGUGCUGCCAGUACCAAAUGCAACAGUGGAUGCAAAGCAUGCAAAGCGCUGAGGCCAUCAUCCUGCUUCUGGCAAACACAUGAGACUGUUGGGGUUCUUUUUGGGGGUGGAUGGUUACUGUCACUGCGAGUUGGGGUUCUUUUUGGGGAUGGAUGGUUACUGUCACUGUGCGACCAAAGGAAAGUAAGUGUGACCAUGGGAAUGAAAAUAAAGACUUAGAGAUAAAGCGCCCUUGGCGUUGUUACCCAUCACCAGGAUCUUGAUACUCCGGACAGGUGAUAAAAAUACCACCUCUGAAUGCUUAGCUUGCUGCCUCCUUGCCCUGAGUGGCCGUCUGGCUCUGAGGCCUGUUUUCCACCACCUCGGAUGCUGGCCCCGCCCUGCUUCCCGCAGGGGGAGACUUCUCCCCAGCCUCUGUGGUUACGCUCUUCAUAGCAGCGGUCACAUUAGCCAUUGGACACUCAGAGUGGGCAUUUGUUUUUGUUUUUGUUUUUUGUCUGUUUGCCUUUUCCAGGGCUGCUUCCCUCGGCCUGUGGAGGUUCCCAGGCUAGGGGUCGAAUUGGAGCCGUUGCUGCCGGCCUACACCUCAGCCACAGCCACACCAGACCCGAGCCGCGUCUGCGACCUACCCCACAGCUCACGGCAACGCCGGAUCCUGAACCCACUGAGCGAGGCCAGGGAUCAAACCCGCAACGUCAUGGCUCCUCGUCGGAUUCGUUAACCACUGUGCCACGUGGGGAACUCCCCAGAGUGGGCAUUUGUGAUGACCGAUUUUGCUGUACUUUGUUAUGAAGAGAAGAUGAUGUUAAUACCUAAUGAGUAAUGAAAAAUCAAUUAAAUUCAUUUAGGGAAAUUAAAGUGCUGACAAACUCAUAAUGGCUGUUCUGUUGUUAAAUGAGAUUGACAUGGAUUAACAGUUGGUGGUGGACAGAAACCUGCUGAAUUUCCUGGAGUAUAUUUCCAUUAAAAUGACAGCUGUGUGGGAGAGCUGUCACCAGGGCAUUUAGUUAUGGGGCCCGGGAGUGUGAAGGAGAGAAGUAAUCAGAUGAGACACCUUGUACUUAAUUUUAAUUAGGUACACUCCCCUUCACGCUGUAAUCACUUAAACUCAGUCACGGAUGGUGUAGAAGCCAGCGGCCGGCCAUCUUACUGUCUCACUCUGUGUUCUUUUUCCAAAUU
rnacentral:lncRNA from 1 species